UGGAGAUCUCUGCCUACCUGAGGCCUUCCAAAGGACAUAUGCCUGCACAACUGUUUCACUGCCAGGCUCUUCAAAAGCACAAGCAGAGUAAGAGAGGUUGGAUCCUUCUGGUGGCAAUUCACACGGGGGAAGAGCUGCCAUGUUUCACUAAGUCAGUGCUUCAAACCAGCAUACCUGAUAGUAAACCUGGACGCACGCUUACAGGAAGAUGCAAGAAAUAAGUGGAUAAAGAAAGAAAGGAAUGAAAACCCCAAUGUAGAGCAUUUGACAUUGUUUCAGUAAUACCUCAGGCAAUUUGUCUCCUUUUACAAAUACCAAUUUACAACAGCGGAGUCCUUGGGUAACCCUCAGCCAAAGCCAGCAAGAGGGGGGGAGAUAAAGCUCUCUAUUGCACACACU
ensembl:lncRNA